rnacentral:rRNA from 1 species
AGAACGAACGCUGGCGGCGUGGAUAAGACAUGCAAGUCGAACGCGACUUAUUCGGUUAGCAAUAACUGGGUAAGUUGAGUGGCGAAAGGGUGCGUAACACGUGGGAAUUUACCAAGAAGUGGGGAAUAGCUUGACGAAAGUCAAAUUAAUACCGCAUGUGAUCGAAAGAUCAAAGCCGGGGACCGCAAGGCCUGGCGCUUUUUGAGAAGCCCGCGGCCCAUCAGCUAGUUGGCGGGGUAAAAGCCCACCAAGGCUAUGACGGGUAGCUGGUCUGAGAGGACGACCAGCCACACUGGAACUGAGACACGGUCCAGACACCUACGGGUGGCAGCAGUCGAGAAUUUUUUCACAAUGG